rnacentral:rRNA from 1 species
CGAACGGGUGAGUAAUACAUCGGAACGUGUCCGCUCGUGGGGGACGAACCAGCCGAAAGGUUGGCUAAUACCGCAUGAGUUCUACGGAAGAAAGAGGGGGACCCGCAAGGGCCUCUCGCGAGCGGAAGCGGCCGAUGACUGAUUAGCCGGUUGGUGAGGUAACGGCUCACCAAAGCAACGAUCAGUAGCUGGUCUGAGAGGACGACCAGCCACACUGGGACUGAGACACGGCCCAGACUCCUACGGAAGGCAGCAG